rnacentral:rRNA from 1 species
GACGAACGCUGGCGGCGUGCCUAAUACAUGCAAGUUGAGCGCUGAAGGUUGGUACUUGUACCAACUGGAUGAGCAGCGAACGGGUGAGUAACGCGUGGGGAAUCUGCCUUUGAGCGGGGGACAACAUUUGGAAACGAAUGCUAAUACCGCAUAAAAACUUUAAACACAAGUUUUAAGUUUGAAAGAUGCAAUUGCAUCACUCAAAGAUGAUCCCGCGUUGUAUUAGCUAGUUGGUGAGGUAAAGGCUCACCAAGGCGAUGAUACAUAGCCGACCUGAGAGGGUGAUCGGCCACAUUGGGACUGAGACACGGCCCAAACUCCUACGGGAGGCAGCAGUAGGGAAUCUUCGGCAAGAGACGAAAGUCUGACCGAGCAACGCCGCGGGAGUGAAGAAGGUUUUCGGAUCGUAAAACUCUGUUGGUAGAGAAGAACGUUGGUGAGAGUGGAAAGCUCAUCAAGUGACGGUAACUACCCAGAAAGGGACGGCUAACUACGUG